UGAAAGGUGAAGGACCCGGUCUUCGGACUGGGAGCGUACACAGGUGCUGCAUGGCUGUCGUCAGCUCGUGUCGUGAGAUAUUGGGUUAAGUCCCGUAACGAGCGCAACCCUUGUUCUUAGUUACCAGCACGUUAUGGUGGGCACUCUAAGGAGACUGCCGGUGACAAACCGGAGGAAGGUGGGGAUGACGUCAAGUCAUCAUGGCCCUUACGGCCUGGGCUACACACGUGCUACAAUGGUCGGUACAAAGGGUUGCCAAGCCGCGAGGUGGAGCUAAUCCCAUAAAACCGAUCGUAGUCCGGAUCGCAGUCUGCAACUCGACUGCGUGAAGUCGGAAUCGCUAGUAAUCGUGAAUCAGAAUGUCACGGUGAAUACGUUCCCGGGCCUU
rnacentral:rRNA from 1 species